rnacentral:tRNA from 1 species
CGCGGGGUGGAGCAGCCCGGUAGCUCGUCAGGCUCAUAACCUGAAGGUCGCAGGUUCAAAUCCUGCCCCCGCCACCA